rfam:Cavia porcellus supercont2_11 genomic scaffold, whole genome shotgun sequence.
GCCGGGCGUGGUGGCGCGCGCCUGUAGUCCCAGCUACUCGGGAGGCUGAGGUGGGAGGAUCGCUUGAGUCCAGGAGUUCUGGGCUGCAGUGCGCUAUGCCGAUCGGGUGUCCGCACUAAGUUCGGCAUCAAUAUGGUGACCUCCCGGGAGCGGGGGACCACCAGGUUGCCUAAGGAGGGGUGAACCGGCCCAGGUCGGAAACGGAGCAGGUCAAAACUCCCGUGCUGAUCAGUAGUGGGAUCGCGCCUGUGAAUAGCCACUGCACUCCAGCCUGGGCAAUAUAGUGAGACCCUGUCUCUA